GUAGGUGGCAAGCGUUGUCCGGAAUAUUGGGCGUAAAGCGCGCGCAGGCGGGGUCCUUUAAGUCUGAUGUGAAAGCCCACGGGCUCAACCGUGGAGGGUCAUUGGAAACUGGGGGACUUGAGUACAGAAGAGGAAAGCGGAAUUCCAAGUGUAGCGGUGAAAUGCGUAGAGAUUUGGAGGAACACCAGUGGCGAAGGCGGCUUUCUGGUCUGUAACUGACGCUGAGGCGCGAAAGCGUGGGGAGCAAACAGGAUUAGAUACCCUGGUAGUCCACGCCGUAAACGAUGAGUGCUAAGUGUUAGGGGGUUUCCGCCCCUUAGUGCUGCAGCUAACGCAUUAAGCACUCCGCCUGGGGAGUACGGCCGCAAAGGCUG
rnacentral:rRNA from 1 species